GUAUAAGAUAAGGUUAUCGAGUCAAAGAAGAUACCAACAGUCUACUGUGACAUGGGCACAAACGGCGGAGGUUGGACAGUGCUUCAGAACAGGUUUAACGGUUCAGUAGACUUUUAUCGAAUUUUCUCGGAAUAUGAAAACGGCUUUGGUGCGUUAAAUGGUGAAUUUUGGUUAGGUCUCAAGAUUGUGCAGGAAAUGACAUAUCAAGGUACAACUGAGUUCAGGCUGGAUGUCACCACGAUUGACAAUGAGAC
rnacentral:lncRNA from 1 species